AUAUAUUAUCAUGGACUGUUUACUGCGAACGCCGCAAAUACAGUUGAAUGAGAUAGCAGGCUAUAUCAUUAAUGCUACUGGCUCUGCAUUUGGCCCGGAGACACUGUGCCGAGCUCUCUAUAGGCUUGGAAUAACACGCAAAAAGAUACAGAGAAUUGCCCUUCAGCGAAGAAACGAUAUUGGGCUACAAUUCAUGGCCGAAAUCAGCCUUUUUGACCCAAACCUGCUCGUUUUCCUCGAUGAAACAGGCAUUAUAACCACCCAACACAUCAUGUACAAGAAGUUGUAGAACGAGUGUACGACAGUCCUGAUUUGAAUCCUAUUGAAGAGGUUUACAUAUAGCUUGCUAUCUCAUUCAACU